rnacentral:rRNA from 1 species
GACGGGGGGGGCAAGUGUUCUUCGGAAUUACUGGGCGUAAAGCGCACGUAGGCGGGUCGUUAAGUCAGGGGUGAAAUCCCAGAGCUCAACUCUGGAACUGCCUUUGAUACUGGCGACCUAGAGUUCGGAAGAGGUUAGUGGAAUUCCCAGUGUAGAGGUGAAAUUCGUAGAUAUUGGGAAGAACACCAGUGGCGAAGGCGGCUAACUGGUCCGAUACUGACGCUGAGGUGCGAAAGCGUGGGGAGCAAACAGG